GAUGAACGCUAGCUACAGGCUUAACACGUGCAAGUCGAGGGGAAACGAUAUUGGAAGCUUGCUUCCGAUAGGCGUCGACCGGCGCACAGGUGAGUAACGCGUAUCCAACCUGCCCACCACUUGGGAAUAACCUUGCGAAAGUAAGACUAAUGCCCAAUGACAUUGAGUGCAGACAUCUAAUCUCAAUUAAAGAUUUAUCGGUGAUGGAUGGGGAUGCGUCCGAUUAGCUUGUUGGCGGGGUAACGGCCCACCAAGGCAACGAUCGGUAGGGGUUCUGAGAGGAAGGUCCCCCACAUUGGAACUGAGACACGGUCCAAACUCCUACGGGAGGCAGCAGUGAGGAAUAUUGGUCAAUGGGCGAGAGCCUGAACCAGCCAAGUAGCGUGCAGGAUGACGGCCCUAUGGGUUGUAAACUGCUUUUAUAAGGGAAUAAAGUGGGUCACGUGUGACUUUUUGCAUGUACCUUAUGAAUAAGGACGGCUAAUCCGUGCCAGCA
rnacentral:rRNA from 1 species